UACAGAGGUCUCAAGCGUUGUUCGGAUUUACUGGGCGUAAAGGGCGCGUAGGCGGCCUCCGCAAGUCAGUUGUGAAAUCUCCGAGCUUAACUCGGAAAGGUCAACUGAUACUGCGGGGCUAGAGUGCGGAAGGGGCAACUGGAAUUCUUGGUGUAGCGGUGAAAUGCGUAGAUAUCAAGAGGAACACCUGCGGCGAAGGCGGGUUGCUGGGCCGACACUGACGCUGAGGCGCGAAAGCGUGGGGAGCGAACAGG
rnacentral:rRNA from 1 species